GGUCUCCGUUGGUGAACCAGCGGAGGGAUCAUUACCGAGUUAUACAACUCAUCAACCCUGUGAACAUACCUAAAACGUUGCUUCGGCGGGAACAGACGGCCCCGUAACACGGGCCGCCCCCGCCAGAGGACCCCCUAACUCUGUUUCUAUUAUGUUUCUUCUGAGUAAAACAAGCAAAUAAAUUAAAACUUUCAACAACGGAUCUCUUGGCUCUGGCAUCGAUGAAGAACGCAGCGAAAUGCGAUAAGUAAUGUGAAUUGCAGAAUUCAGUGAAUCAUCGAAUCUUUGAACGCACAUUGCGCCCGCCAGUAUUCUGGCGGGCAUGCCUGUUCGAGCGUCAUUACAACCCUCAGGCCCCCGGGCCUGGCGUUGGGGAUCGGCGAGGCGCCCCCUGCGGGCACACGCCGUCCCCCAAAUACAGUGGCGGUCCCGCCGCAGCUUCCAUUGCGUAGUAGCUAACACCUCGCAACUGGAGAGCGGCGCGGCCACGCCGUAAAACACCCAACUUCUGAAUGUUGACCUCGAAUCAGGUAGGAAUACCCGCUGAACUUAAGCAU
rnacentral:rRNA from 1 species